GAUAAAUUACAAAAACUACUUCUACAAGGUCUUGAUAUUACAAUCUUAGGAAGCAAUGAUUUCUAUUCUUACAUAAAUCAGAAUAGAAAUUAGGUCCAUUUUAAGGGGAUGAGAUAGGGGAAGCCUUCCAGUCAUUCCACAUUGGCCAAAAGCUAGGGGAAGAGCUCGAUGUCAAAUUUGAUAGGGGAGGGAAUCAUCCUGCUGCACUAACCACUUCAAGGUAUGGGAUCAGCAAGAUGGAGUUGCUAAAAGUUUGCAUUUCAAGGGAAUGGCUGCUGAUAAAGUGCAACUCAUUUGUAUAUAUCUUCAAAGUAGUCUAGCUUAUAAUUCUCGGAGCCAUUGCAAUGAGUCUUCCUUAGGGCAAAGAUGCAUCAUGAUUAAGUGGAGGAUGGAGUUAUCUUCUUCAGCGCCAUGUUUCUUAGAUUGGUGACUCAUCUGUUAAUGGCUUUGCUGAACUUGCUAUGAAUAUUGUCAAACUUCCUAUAUUCCCAUCAACUAUGGUUUGAUUCUAACGAUAGAUGUGGUUGAGCCAUAUUGUAGUAAAUAAAUGCUUCUAAAUUGAA